rnacentral:rRNA from 1 species
GACGAACGCUGGCGGCGUGCCUAAUACAUGCAAGUCGAACGAACCGCGACUAGGUGCUCGCAUCUGGUCAAGGAGAGUGGCGAAUGGGUGAGUAACACGUGGGUAACCUACCUUAUAGUGGGGGAUAACAGUCGGAAACGACUGCAAAUACCGCUUAAGACAUAGGAAAACAUGAAUCAGUGAGGAAAGGUGGCGCAAGCUUUCGCUAAGAGAUGGACCCGCGGUGCCUUAGCUAGUUGGUAGUGUAAAGGCCUACCAAGGCGAUGAUGCAUAGCCGACCUGAGAGGGUGAUCGGCCACAUUGGCACUGAGACACGGCCCAAACUCCUACGGGAGGCAGCAGUAGGGAAUCUUCCGCAAUGGACGAAAGUCUGACGGAGCAAAGCCGCGUGAGUGAAGAAGGUCUUCGGAUCGUAAAACUCUGUUGUUAGAGAAGAACAACGCAUAGAGUAACUGUGAUGCGUGUGACGGUAUCUAACCAGAAAGCCACGGCUAACUACGUG